GCGCAGGUCAAGCUUUCACCAGUUUUUAAUUCUUUGAUGGGGUAAAUUUGAGCAAUUUUCUCGACUUGUCGACAUUCGUUAUUAACUGAGCAGGAAUCAGGAGAGGAACCCGGUCCUCUCCACACAGCCCAGCAGAGAGCCUACGACUAGAUUUGCAUCUUUACGUCCUGCGCGGAGGCUGCUACACACAUGCAGAAGUCAUGCUGGUGGCCUGGACAGUGAAGGGAGAGAAGUGGAUUUGGGAGACAUUUAGGAGGACCCACCCGAGGGUGGGUCACCAUGGCUUUGGAGCACCUGGUAGUGUGGCGUGUC
rnacentral:lncRNA from 10 species